AGUGACCAUGAAGGAACAUGUGCAUCAAGGGACACGUGAGCAGUUUUAAGGAGGCAGGAAUGAAGGGGUGUGGUGUAAAGAAGAGAGAGGAUAUAACUCAACAUGUAUACGUUUGUUAGACAAGAGCGACAUGUAAAUGUUUCACCGCAGAGAUGUUAGUUUUGUAAUUUUGCUGUGAAAGCAGUUUAUUGUGUGAUUUCACAUAUCUACAUUUAGGUUUACUUUCUAGAAUGCCUCCAGCUCUGUACUCAUUUGGAUUUAUACUCGUGGUCCUUACAAGAAAAGUGGAGAGUGUUACCUUUGAACAGUCGUCUGCUCAAGUUGUGAACACAGGGACUGAGGAGCUCAGGAUUAUCUGCAGUCAUGAUGACAGCAACUUACGAGUAAUGCUGUGGUACCAGCACAAGCAGAGUGAUCAGGCGAUGAGCCUCAUUGGGUACACAGUGCUUAUGGGUGAACCAAACUAUGAGAGCCAGUUCACAGACCGGUUUCAGAUAAAAAGAGACGACACAGUGAAAGGCUCUCUGAUCAUCAAAAACCUUAAUCUGUCAGACUCAGCUGUGUAUUUCUGUGCUGCCAGCACACAGUGACGUGUUUCAUGUCUCCGCUAUACUAAAAACCUCUGAUGGAAAACUAAUGACAACGACACACUGUUUUUUCUUUUUGGAAGUUGAAACUGUUCAUCUUUUUAUCAGGGCAAAAUUGGGGUAUAACAAAUCUAUGUAUUCUUUAUGAAGUGCACUGUAACUAUAUAUAUGUAACAAAUUUCCCUGUUUAACCACAUUUAAGUUAAUUUCAGCUUUAGUUUUUUUGUGUGAAAAACUUUUUUUCUCUAUAAACUAUGUGCUUCACAGUACAACAAUGCUAAUUUAGAUGUUUCUGUUCCAAUGUUGUGUUUUUUUUCAU